AUUUACUCCUUCGGUAUUUCUUUACUUACCCAGCACACUCAUUUGUACCUUCCCUUCCAUUUUUGACUCUAAAGCCUUUCUUAUUCCACCUGUGGGAAUUCUGCCACGUCCUCAGGCUUCACCUUCUCUGCGGACUUCCCUGAAGACAUCAGGUCACCCCUAUGUCAGCCUUCUCUGAAUUGUCGCUCUUCCCCCUGUAUGCGUCCAUUUCCCGAGCAUUAUCUUACAUUGUUGUUCAGAUUGUUUUGGAUGAUUUUUAUGAAACAAGACAUAGGCUCUGUAUGGGCAAGGUCUUUGGGAGCUUCAGAGGUGCCUGACAAAUAUUUCUUCAUCGAUGUGUUUAUUUAUAGUUGUGGCUCUUUGACUGGCGAUGACAUUGUGCUGACUCAGUGCCUUCCACUCCGUGACAUCCACCACUUGUCAACAACGAAAAGAUAACGUUUUUACAACUAACACACUUGCUGUCAAAUGCACUUAGGUGUUUCGUAUUAUUGGUCUGCCUCUGUCAAAGGGCCAGCAUUGAAAUCAAUCAGUAGAAGCAUCUUCAUCCAGGCACAGGUUUCAAAGCCAGAUGGAUGCCAGGUGCCCUGACAUCAUUCAGACUGCUAUGUGACCAGAAUGACUCAGACGAUGCAAAACCUUUCCUGGCUGGGUUACAGAGAAAUUUGACAAAGAGGAAAGUCACCGGCUUCAGAGUCAAAGAAGAGACUACAAGGAAAACAUGCAGGUGAUCCCAGGAGCUGGGAAAGAGAAGGAAACAGAGUCUUCUCUAGAGCUUCCAGUAUGAACACAGCCUUGUCACCAAUUUCAUUUUAGCCUGGGUCUCGCCAGAGACCAGAGCUGCAAGCCUUCAUCUUUUGUCUUAAAUAUCUUGCACGGUGUACACUUCUUGAGAGAAUCCAGUUUAUAAAUGACAGUAGAAAAAUACACAUAGUUGACGUGACCCUGCUGUAGUACUCCAUCAACAAUGAGUUUGAAAAGCAAGAGAUGAAAAUUGAAAAACAUAAGUAGAACCUCUACCUGUCAUGUGGAAUUUGCUAACAGUUCAAAAGUCCUCGGGUUCGACAUCGUUACAAGGAAAGAUACGCUACAUUCUAUAAGGCGCUGGAGGUUAAAUGACCAGUUAAGCCAAACAAAGAUUUGUAAAUAUUGACGAAACAAAGGACACUUUAGGAAGGAUUCCAAGAACUCCCUGUACUUUCAAUACCUUCACUUUGGAGUUACCUUCAAAGAGGCUAAGAUUGUAGCUGAAAACGGUCCAGCUUCUCCCACACCUUGAGAGACUGCGUUGCUGUAAGGUAACCUUCAGGACGGAAAACAGCAGCGGGGGUGUGGGAUGGGGAAAGUGGCUGGAUGGCUGAAAGUAUUGUAACACAGUACUGAACUUCUUGUUUUGCACAAAUGUUUAUGGAAUAAAGUGUCUUCUUUUCCAC